AGAGUUUGAUCAUGGCUCAGAACGAACGCUGGCGGCAUGCCUCAUACAUGCAAGUCGAACGAAGGCUUCGGCCUUAGUGGCGCACGGGUGAGUAACGCGUGGGAACCUGCCCUGGAGUGGGGGAUAACCGAGGGAAACUUCGGCUAAUACCGCAUGCGCCCGGUAGCAAUACCGGGGAAAGAUUUAUCGCUCUAGGAGGGGCCCGCGCCGGAUUAGCUAGUUGGUGGGGUAACGGCCUACCAAGGCAACGAUCCGUAGCUGGUCUGAGAGGAUGAUCAGCCACACUGGGACUGAGACACGGCCCAGACUCCUACGGGAGGCAGCAGUAGGGAAUAUUGGACAAUGGGCGAAAGCCUGAUCCAGCAAUGCCGCGUGAGUGAGGAAGGCCUUAGGGUUGUAAAGCUCUUUCGGCGGGGACGAUGAUGACGGUACCCGCAGAAGAAGCCCCGGCUAACUUCGUGCCAGCAGCCGCGGUAAUACGAAGGGGGCAAGCGUUGUUCGGAAUUACUGGGCGUAAAGGGCGCGUAGGCGGCCAUCUUUGUCAGGCGUGAAAGCCCCGGGCUCAACCUGGGAAUUGCGCUUGGGACGGGGUGGCUUGAGUUCGGGAGAGGAGAGUGGAAUUCCCAGUGUAGAGGUGAAAUUCGUAGAUAUUGGGAAGAACACCGGUGGCGAAGGCGGCUCUCUGGACCGAUACUGACGCUGANGCGCGAAAGCGUGGGGAGCAAACAGGAUUAAAUACCCUGGUAGUNCCACGCUGUAAACGAUGUGUGCUAGACGUUGGGAAGCCUA
rnacentral:rRNA from 1 species